GUACUGGUAUUGUUGGUUUCUCCCUUCUGACGAACCAUGAUGUCAUUUAUUUGGUGUUGUGGGGAAUCAGGACUGUUACUUUGAAAAAAUUAGAGUGUUUAAAGCAGGCUUUCGCUUGAAUACAUUAGCAUGGAAUAAUGAAAUAGGACGUUUGAUCCUAUUUUGUUGGUUUCUAGGAUUGACGUAAUGAUUAAUAGGGAUAGUUGGGGGCAUUAGUAUUCAAUUGUCAGAGGUGAAAUUCUUGGAUUUAUUGAAGACUAACUACUGCGAAAGCAUUUGCCAAGGAUGUUUUCAUUAAUCAAGAACGAAAGUUAGGGGAUCGAAGACGAUCAGAUACCGUCGUAGUCUUAACCAUAAACUAUGCCGACUAGGGAUCGGAUGAUGUUAAUUUUUUAAUGACUCAUUCGGCGCCUUACG
rnacentral:rRNA from 1 species